AAAAACAAACCAAACCCAAAAACUAAUGUCUUCAAAUUUGCUAUUUACAUCAAAACCUGCAACAUGCAUGUAUACACAAGAGACACAUGAAUGUUGGAAUUAAUCUUGAUGUUUCGGAUUAUUUACGGAUCAUGAAUUACGGUCACGGGUUGCAUGUUCUAAACGGGUUUAUCCGAUAUGAAAAAUGGAUCCUCAUGAGUCAAACAGGUUAGAUGGUUUGUUAUAUGGUUGACCGAGUUUGUUGGAGAUGGAGUUAUGGAGAAGUGUACGUUGGGAGUUGUUGCUACAAAAGAGGAGUUCGUUAGGUUUUUAUUUGUACCCUUUGUUUAUUGAAUAAAGAGAGUUUCAUAAACUGAUAAACAUAUUUACGUGAGUGUGUGUAGUGUUAGUGUAGUGAUCAAAGGGACCUGAACCAACAUUUGGUAUCAGAGCAGAGUGCUCGUGAAGAAGACGGUGUAGCCGUUUUGAGAGUCGAUUCCGAGAAGGCAAGAGAGCAGCGGGUUUUGGCGGUGAUUACCGUCGACAGAAAGAAGAAGAGAAGAGGUUCUGUGUGAACCGAAUAUGGUUCUAAGUGAGCCAUGUGGAGAAGAGGUCGAGAGUUGAAGAGAAUACGGUUCUGAGUGAGCCGGGCGAAGUCAUCGAACAAGAAGAUCUUAGUGAUCGAAGAAGGGUUCUGUGUGAGCCGUAUGAAUAGGAGUUCUGAGUGAACCGAUCGGUUCUUAGUGAGCCGGUAGAAGACGAGGAAGAAGACGAUCUGUGUGAUCAAACGUACCUGCUCUGUGUGUCGCAGGCGUGAGAAAGGAGGACCAGAUCUUUGUGAUCAAAAGGAUCGAAAACCUUAGUGGUGCUGUGUGAAUCGAUCAAGGAAAAAGGAGAAUCUUAGUGAUUCCAGUAUCUAUGUGAGAAGUUUGAAGAGAUCUGUGUGAUCCGAAAAGGAAAAAAAUCUGUGUGAGGCGAAGACGACCGUUGUGGUAAAUGAAAGAACGGCGGAUCUGUGUGAUCGAUAUAAAAUCUGUGUGAUCAUUGUGUCGAUCAAGAUGUUCUGUGUGAACAAAUGGGGUGUUUUGAGUAGUGAAUGGCGAGCUUACAAAUAAUAGGGGAUCUGGUAUGAAGGUGAUAAUUACGUAAGGCCUAUAUGGUGUAUAGGCUUACUUGUGAGUGUUUAAAAGAAAGUCAAUCCAACAUGAUGAUAUGGACAAGUCAAGGCCACUGGUGGAAUAAUUACUGAGACAAUAAUCGAAGCAAAGAUGGUAUUUGCAAGUAGUUCAGCAAGGUAUUUCUUGCAGCAGGUAGCAGCAUGUUCGGGUAGUUUCGGGCAAAAUUUCGGGGCUGAAUCGGUAAUGCAAUAGUAUCGUGUUGCAGUGGAAUGGGGCUGCUAAAGGCGAGUGUGCAAGAAACUGAACCUGUGUGGUUCAUUGUAAGGAGCAAGUAGCAAGAACGAGGAUCAAGAUUAAGGGGGUGAAUGUUGGAAUUAAUCUUGAUGUUUCGGAUUAUUUACGGAUCAUGAAUUACGGUCACGGGUUGCAUGUUCUAAACGGGUUUAUCCGAUAUGAAAAAUGGAUCCUCAUGAGUCAAACAGGUUAGAUGGUUUGUUAUAUGGUUGACCGAGUUUGUUGGAGAUGGAGUUAUGGAGAAGUGUACGUUGGGAGUUGUUGCUACAAAAGAGGAGUUCGUGGGUUUUUAUGCAUGUGACUUUAUAUGUAUUUUUAAUUAUAAAUGGGGAGUAGGUUAGGUUUUUAUUUGUACCCUUUGUUUAUUGAAUAAAGAGAGUUUCAUAAACUGAUA
rnacentral:lncRNA from 1 species